AGACGUCUACAUUAGAUACCCGUGUAGUCCCAGCCGUAAACUAUGCGCGUUAGGUGUAUCGGUGACCACGAGUCACCGAGGUGCCGAAGGGAAACCGUGAAACGUGCCGCCUGGGAAGUACGGUCGCAAGGCUGAAACUUAAAGGAAUUGGCGGGAGAGCACCACAACGGGUGGAGCCUGCGGUUUAAUUGGACUCAACGCCGGGAAGCUCACCGGAUAAGACAGCGGAAUGAUUGCCGGGCUGAAGACUCUGCAUGACUAGCUG
rnacentral:rRNA from 1 species